CUUCAUUACUGACUGAAGAAAAUCCUCCUUCUUUUUUUCACUCAUUUCUCAACCAUGUCCAAACAUGAGUGUCCAAAGACAGACACACAAAUCCUGGAGACAGAAGCAGGAAGUCACUGAGAAGCUGGAGGAGGUGAGCUGGGAAGACUUGUUUGGUUUUGUUUAUGUGCCUUUUCUGCUCCUCGAAAAGCGUUUGACGUGGAUGCAGCUCCGGGUGGAUUACUGUGGAGGGUGUAUUUGUAAAGGGUUUGGCAUCAAUACAAACGCAGUGGUGCUUGUCAUUCAGAACGGUGUGCUGGACAUUUGAUUAACUAUUGUGUGGCUGUAAUGAAAUAUUGAAAUGUAGAAGCACAAUAACAGAAAGCCAAUUUUACUGUAAUGGUCUUUAUUGGUCCUUUUUUUUUUUUGCACACAGACCCUGCUUUGCACAGCUCUGUUCUAACAGCAGCAGCAGUAUAUGUGACAAAUUGAUAUUUCUUAACGC